rnacentral:rRNA from 1 species
AUUGAACGCUGGCGGCAUGCCUUACACAUGCAAGUCGAACGGCAGCGCGGGGCAACCUGGCGGCGAGUGGCGAACGGGUGAGUAACAUAUCGGAACAUACCCUAGAGUGGGGGAUAACGUAGCGAAAGUUACGCUAAUACCGCAUACGCACUAAGGUGGAAAGUGGGGGAUUCGCAAGAACCUCAUGCUCAUGGAGUGGCCGAUAUCUGAUUAGCUAGUUGGUGAGGUAAAGGCUCACCAAGGCGACGAUCAGUAGCUGGUUUGAGAGAACGACCAGCCACACUGGAACUGAGACACGGUCCAGACUCCUACGGAGGCAGCAGUGGGGAAUUUUGGACAAUGGGGGCAACCCUGAUCCAGCAAUGCCGCGUGAGUGAAGAAGGCCUUCGGUUGUAAACUCUUUCUACCUGUGACGAUGAUGACGGUAGCGAGGAGAAGAAGCACCGGC